ensembl:snoRNA
CCUGGUCAGUGAUGAGUCCUCUUUCUUUGGAGACUGCUGGAUGAAUCCUGCGGAUAUGGGGCUGAGGCCAGGC